AGAAUUAUGAGGAUCAAGAAAAAGCUUCUAACUUUUUUCUUUAGUGGUUUAACUCCAUUAAUAUUUCUA
rnacentral:tRNA from 1 species